UACGUAGGUGGCAAGCGUUGUCCGGAAUCAUUGGGCGUAAAGCGCACGUAGGUGGUUUGUUAAGUCGGAUGUGAAAGCCCUAGGCUCAACCUAGGAAGUGCAUUCGAAACUGGCAAGCUUGAGUAUGGAAGAGGGUCGCGGAAUUCCCGGUGUAGAGGUGAAAUUCGUAGAUAUCGGGAGGAACACCAGUGGCGAAGGCGGCGACCUGGGCCAAUACUGACACUGAGGUGCGAAAGCGUGGGGAGCAAACAGG
rnacentral:rRNA from 1 species